UACGGGGGGAGCAAGCGUUGUUCGGAAUCACUGGGCGUAAAGGGCGUGUAGGCGGUUGGGUAAGUGAGAUGUGAAAUGCCCCGGCUCACCCGGGGAUCGGCAUCUCAAACUGCCUGACUUGAGUAUGGGAGAGGAUGAGGGAAUUCCUGGUGUAGCGGUGAAAUGCGUAGAUAUCAGGAGGAACACCGGUGGCGAAGGCGCUCAUCUGGCCCAAUACUGACGCUGAGGCGCGAAAGCUAGGGGAGCAAACGGG
rnacentral:rRNA from 1 species